rnacentral:rRNA from 1 species
CCUACGGGAGGCAGCAGUGAGGAAUAUUGGUCAAUGGACGCGAGCCUGAACCAGCCAAGUAGCGUGAAGGAUGACUGCCCUACGGGUUGUAAACUUCUUUUAUAAAGGAAUAAAGUGAGGCACGUGUGCCUUUUUGUAUGUACUUUAUGAAUAAGGAUCGGCUAACUCCGUGCCAGCAGCCGCGGUAAUACGGAGGAUCCGAGCGUUAUCCGGAUUUAUUGGGUUUAAAGGGAGCGUAGAUGGGUUGUUAAGUUAGCUGGGAAAGUGGGCGGCUCAACCGUAAAAUUGCAAGUGAUACUGGUAGGCGUGAGUACAGUUGAGGUAGGCGGAAUGCGUGGUGUAGCGGUGAAAUGCUGAGAUAUCACGAAGAACUCCGAUUGCGAAGGCAGCUUACUAAGCUGCCACUGACAAUGAUGCUCGAAAGUGUGGGUAUCAAACAGGAUUAGAUACCCUAGUAGUC